rnacentral:rRNA from 1 species
AGGGAAUUUUCGGCAAUGGGGGCAACCCUGACCGAGCAAUGCCGCGUGAACGACGAAGGUCUUCGGAUCGUAAAGUUCUGUGAUUGGGGAAGAACAGCAUGAUCAGGAAAUGGGUCAUGUUUGACGGUACCCGAUUAGAAAGCCCCGGCUAACUAUGUGCCAGCAGCCGCGGUAAAACAUAGGGGGCGAGCGUUAUCCGGAAUUAUUGGGCGUAAAGAGUACGUAGGCGGCCUGUUAAGUCUGAUGUGAAAUCCCGCGGCUUAACCGCGGAGGGUCAUUGGAAACUGGCAGGCUUGAGUACGGCAGGGGUAAGUGGAAUUCCAAGUGGAGCGGUGAAAUGCGUAGAUAUUUGGAGGAACACCAGUGGCGAAGGCGGCUUACUGGGCCGGAACUGACGCUGAGGUACGAAAGCGUGGGUAGCAAACA